AAUUGGAGAUGAGAUUUGGGUGGAGACACCAAGCCAAACCAUAUCAGGACUCCAGCAAUUCUUUCUCUCACCUGCUCUAUCUCUUAUUCCCCUCUACUGCAUCUAUACCAACUAAAAGAAAAACACUUCUUGGACACACAAGAGCUGUCAUCUUUUGUGUUUGCCAAACUUUUAAGGGAAACCCUAUGAAAGGGGUGCCUACACAGUCCCCACAUCCUACCACACUUCUUUCCCUCACUGCCACUCAAACCUGACUUCUGUCACUAGGGUCAUAAUGCCUUCUGCAUGACCUAACUCAGCCCUGCCUCUGCCCAUUGAUCUGACCCCUAAUUAUGUGGUCACUGGAAGCUGCUCUCAGGUGUCCUUGCCCAAAGGGACUUACAGCACACAGCCUGUGGAGGGUGGAGGAACCAACUGCAAGAUCACUUGUCCUCGUCAAUUAAUGUACACUGGAGAAAGAACUACCUUCGGGCUGUGAGGUCAUCGUAUAAUCCUGACCACUCAUUUCCCAUCAUGAGACUGCUGUUCCUUCUGUUUCUCCUUCUUGGAUGUCUAAUACAAACAGCCUCAGGAUAUGAGAGAAAGGAUAGAUUCCAUGAAUGUGAACACAUGGGUGGUGUCUGCAGGCACCAAAAAACCCACGGUUGCUCUAUCCUGCCUGCACAGUGCAAAAGCCGGUACAAACACUGCUGUAGGUUGUAGCUGCAACAGCUGGAGGGGCCUCAGGGUAGCCCAAGAGAACCACAGCCCCUGACUUCUGCUUAAUAAAGGCAUCACCACCCAUGUGGACCCUCUUUCUGAUAACGUGCUUAAUUUUUAGACCAUUGAACCAGAGGCAGGAGAAUGUAGAAUCUGGAUUUGGUCACACCACUAACUCCCUGAUUGAUUUUGGAUAAGACCUUUCUUUUCCUAGAUUUCAGUUUCUUUCCCUCUAACCACUGACAUGGGUAUUCUCUAAGACACCUGUACGCUGUUCAUAUGUCUGUGAAUCUAUGGAAUUUUGGAUGAAGGGUGUGUGUGUGUGUGUGUGUGUGUGUGUGUGUUUGUGUGUUGGCUAUAAGUUAAAAAGUCACAGAGGUUUUAUUUUUGUUUUCAUUUUGAAGACAGGGUCUCACUUUGUCUCCCAGCCUGGAGUGCAGUGGCACAAU